GGGAAACUACUGUGUUUUGGUAACUGCCAGACAAUAGGACUGAGCUAAGCUUUCCAUCAUGGAGGAUAUUCUUAUGUAAGGAGCCAUCUUUGAGUAAUGGUGAAGAAGAGGUGCUAUAACCAGCCAAGUGCGGUUUACAUCCAAGACUCUCUCUUCUAAAGUCUUGGGUAGACGAAGGUCCAUCUGCACGCAUAUGCAAUUCCUCCUCACCUCUCAAUUUCAGAUUUUCUCCAGAUUGAACUGCUGAUUGUACUGAAUCAGAAGAACCAUCCAGCACUGAUCUUUUGCCACUCUCUUCCAAACCUUUGCCGUCUGCAAGUUUGCUUUUUAUCAUUGUAUCAUCUAGACCACCAUCCUUAUCAUGGCUAGUCACAUGAUCCUUUAUGUGAAGAAAUCUACAAGAGUUCCC
rnacentral:misc_RNA from 1 species